CGGAGGGUGCGAGCGUUGUCCGGAAUCACUGGGCGUAAAGGGCGCGUAGGCGGCCUGGUAAGUAGGGGGUGAAAUCCUGCGGCUUAACCGCAGGGCUGCCUUCUAAACUGUCAGGCUCGAGCACGGUAGAGGCAGAUGGAAUUCCCGGUGUAGCGGUGGAAUGCGUAGAGAUCGGGAAGAACAUCAGUGGCGAAGGCGGUCUGCUGGGCCGUUGCUGACGCUGAGGCGCGACAGCGUGGGGAGCAAACAGGAUUAGAUACCCUGGUAGUCCACGCCGUAAACGAUGGGCACUAGGCGUCGGGGGGAGCGACCCUCCCGGUGCCGUCGCUAACGCAGUAAGUGCCCCGCCUGGGGAGUACGGCCGCAAGGCUG
rnacentral:rRNA from 1 species